rnacentral:lncRNA from 1 species
AGACAAUUUCAAAUUAAAUCAAAUAGGAGUUAAUAAAGACAUAUGUCUUUUAUUUGUAACAUCUUUUAUUCUUUAUUUAAAUUGAUGUUUGUGGUUUAAAUUAGUGCUUGUCGGAGGGCUUCAUUAGUAACCUCAAGUUAAAAGGGAUGAGACAUCAAGUUCUUACAGUUUUGUUAUCCAGAUGAAAUUCCCUCAAAAGUUGUAUAAACAUCCACCGUGUUCUUUUAAAGAUUGUUGAGAGUAAUACAAAGAAAAGAAUAAAAUAAUAAAUUGCAUUUUCCCUUUGUAACUAA